GGUUUCUACCCGUUAAAGGGAAGUUUUUCCUUGCCACUGUCACUUAUGUUGGAUGGGAUGAGUCAAAUCUGUCCCAUUUUAAGAUUGGGUCUUUAUAAGACAUAACAAAAUGAGUGAAUGAUGCUGUCCUCUACAUGCCAGAAUGAGUGCGACUGUUGUGAUUUGUCGCUUUAUAAAUAAAAAAUUGAUUGAUUGAUUUAAACUGAUAACCAUAUGAAUGUGUUCAGGUCUUGAUCCUUACCAUGCAUGGUGAGUGUAGGUUAUAUUGGAGCAUGCUUGCAUGAGAUAAACCUACUUCCUGUGUCACGGCUAGUCAUAAUUAUAAUGCAGGUUCUCAUUGAUAUUAGUAUCUUCUUUUCUACCAAUAUUAUCAGAUAAAACAAUAUACAAGGAGGAAGGUCAUCAUUGGUAUUUGAAAAUAUUUCCAAAAUUAGCAGGAUAAGGUCUUGUUUUAAAGCUGUUUGUAUGUAUUUAUCCCCACUGGCUAAAAUGAGCUCUGAUAUUAUGAGAUCUGUGACGUAACUUUAUUGCAGCUUGAGCUGACUGUCAAUACAAACUGAUUAUCACUGAAAUAUAAACUUGUGUGCGUGUGUGUGUGUGUGUGUGUGUGUGUGUGUGUGUGUGUGUGUGUGUGUGUGUGUGUGUGUUGCCCUCUCAGCAGCUGGCCUGUCUCUAAUUGCUUCCAUCUUGCAGCUACAGUAAGAAUCUGCUCUCCAUCCACAGACUGAGCGGAUCAUACAACUGAAAACUGAGGAGCCGUCACAAAUAAUUCAACCCAAUGUGUGUGUGUGUGUGUGUGUGUCAGUGAGAGAGAGAGAGAGAGAGAGAGAGAGAGAGAGAGAGAGAGAGAGAGAAAGAGAGUCUGUGUGAGGGAGGAGGGUGUGUUGAUGAACCUGUGUGGGUUUGCACUCACACUUAAGAAAAUAGUGUUUUUCCAGGAGCUGCAUUUCAUGUGGCAGCGACAGGAAGUCGUUCAGCGGCAGGUAAAUCAAGGAAAGUGCUCCUAAGAGAUGUCGGUGGCCGACCCCCUCUGCAUUUGUCUCCGUCAAUGACAGCUCACUUCUUUUUGCCCUGCCCACUCCCCUCUUCAGGAGGAGAGUGAUCAGAGCAGGGACUCCAAGUGCGAACAUCAGCAAUGUAAGAUUAACAGGAUUAAUCAGCUAAAACAAUUUCUGUGACAGACACAGAAAUGAGACACAACAGACAGGGAGGUUUGAGAUGCUUUGCAUUCUGUGUCAGCUCUGGAGGAGGAUGCAAGUUGUGUGUUGUAAUGGAUUUGGAUUUCUGUCAGCUCUCCUCCAUCCGAAACACUUAUACUUCUAACAAAAUAUGCCAAAUUAUGAGGAAAAAGUUGGAAGAAUAGAUGAAAUUUAAAAUAGAACAGGUCUAAAAACUAUGCAGCCUUGGUGGUUCUCUCUGAGUUUUAAAUCACAGAGAAAAAACACAGCAAAUUGAAGCCUCAGGAAUAAACUCUGUCAGAGUUAAAAUCAACUCAAUCUGAGUGUACAUGUGAGACCAUUGAAUGGACUCCAAAGCUGAGUUAAAUCUGUUCUGGGAGUUGAUAUUUAACUCUCAUUGGGAGUUAAAACUGAACUCUAUUGGAAGUUAAUAUACAACUCUCAUUAGGAGUAAAAUUAACUCUUAUAUUUAAUUUAACAUAGUCUGACUAUUUUUCAGUGUUUAUACUCAACACUUUAUUUGAGUUAAACACUAAUGGAGCUUAUAUUUAGAGAUACUAAAAUGGUUUUACAGUGAAAAUCAAUACAAAAACACCACAUAAAUUACUUCAAUAUGUUUAUUUGAAUAAGAAUAAGGAGAAAACCCCAAGGGGAAAUUCAAUUGUCUGUUGUCUCACAUAAUAUGUCUCACAAAGUUAUCUUUUAUUUACACAAGAGUUAAAAAGCUUGAUGGCUGUAGGUACAAAAGAUCUUUUGAAUCUUUCUGUCCUGCAGUGAAGAGACAGGAGCCAUCCACCACCAUUGGUCCUUUGGUCCAUCAAGGUGUUGUGAAGUGGGUGAUCCAUGUUCUUUAGAACAGUCUCCACCUUCCUUGGUGUACAUCUCUCCACCACAUCCUCCACUGAGUCCAGCUUGAGUCCAACCACAGAGCCAGCCUUUUUCACCAGUUUGUUAAGAGGUCUCUCAUCUUUGUGUUUGAUGCUUCCUCCCCAGCAGACUGCAGCGUAGAACAGAACACUUGCCACCACAGACUGAUAAAACAUCUGCAGCAUCUUGCUACAGAUCAGUGGUAGCCAGUAUAUAAGGGCGCUGCGGGCAAGCGCAUCAUUUGAAUGCCGUUAACAACAUUUCAGCAUGACUACAUGAAUCUGUAACAAGCCAUCACCUCAUAAAAAUGCACUGUUACAAUUUCUUGUAACAGUGCAAAUAAAACUCUAGAGUUUUACCCUAACUCGAUGUUACGGUGUGUUUGACCCUAACUUAAUUUUACACCAGAAUAUCCCUUUAAAUACAGAAUUGUGAUAAUUUGUGGGAAAUCUGUCUUGAAGUGUAACCAGUGUGCUGAUUCUUCAAUUGAAUUACAGAAGUUUCAACAGCAGCUGAAUUUUUUUAACUGUUAUUACCUCACAAAAACAGACUCAAAAGAAAAACUCCCUUCCGUUGAGUGCCCACUGAGCUUAAAUGUUUAACACUUUAAAUAAGACAACUUUCUGACACAACAUAAAUAUGUGAAUCACACCUUUAGGACAUUUGAACAUCAAAAGGCUUCAAGUGUUUUAAUCGCCUUCUCUCAAGAACCAGAAUUGUCCUUGGGAAGUUUUCACUUACUUGGAAAGCAUGAAAGUGGUCAUGAAAACAAGUUUCAUGUUCAACAAGAACAAAAAACACUUCACCAUUGUGCAAAAUAAUAGAGGUUAUUUUUCUGAACACUGGUGUGUGUUCAUCAGAGCCUGUGCAAACAAAAAGGCCAACGCAGUAUUCAACUCGAUCACACUUCACCCAGUUAGUCAGUUUGACAGUGGCUUUUGGAUCAAUGUGAAGAUAUGAGUGUUAGGUUUAAAACCUGCAACAUUUACCUGAUAACAUAUAAAGAAGAGAAAGACAAUGGUAUAUACUCGAGGAGAAUGGACCGAGAUAGCUUCAGGUACCAUCUCGAAACCACUCUGAAAGGUAUUUCCGCCCAGUCUCUUUUAUUUAGGGUUGUCCCUGGUUACACAAUGUUUCUAAAAGGGUGGGGGUAAAUGUGCUGCAAAGUAAGCAUUUCAUAGAACAUAAUAAUGAACAAUUUGUGAAUAGCUGAAGGUCAAGGCGGCAUCUAACGAGCUCCUUCUGAUAAGCGUGUAUCCUUCCCAGAACCUCCCCACGAUUCAUCCUCGGAGGAUACGUCACACACACCUGCUGAUAGGAGAAACAAGUUCACAGAGAAGUUAAGAAACAUUCAUGUGCUGUGUAAUUAAGCUAUUGGAGAGAGAAGUUAGAAAACACUCAUAUGAUAAAAAUACUCUUAUAUGAUGUAUAAAAAGAGGUCAAAGGAGUUUAUACUAUAAGAAUAUGAGGAAUAAUGAUAACUUCUAUAUACAUUUAUGCACAUUAUUCUAACAAUGAGGACACAUCUUUUUUACACUCUAGUGCAGGGGUUGGACCAAAAAAAAACAAAAAAAAACCCAAAUCUGUCUGGAGAAUUAAACAAAAAAUUAAAAGCCUUAUAUAAGCCUUAUAUGAAGGCAACUGUGGUGAGACGCCUCCUCAUCUUGUUUUAUUUUGGCUGGACUUCCUUUGUUUCCCUGUUUGCCUUUACUCUUUUCUAGGGCUUCCUCCCCUCCCCCAGCGCUGAGGCUGAGUGAGACCACACACCUGCUCCACAUCUCCAAUCAAGGCACUUUAAGAAGCCUGCAGCCCUCAGUCUCAGCGCCUGAGUACUGUCUACCCUGCCUAGCGGUAAAGACGCGUCUCCUGGCCAAACCUUCGUUGGUAUAACCUUCAGAACUUUGCUCCUAGUGACUAUUUUCAUGUUCAUUAACUCCUGUCUCCUCUGUUUUUUUCCUGCAGUGUCUCCAGCCCACACGACAGCCAGCCAACCAGCCAACCGGACAUCCUCGUUUGCAUUUUCAACCUUUUGUUCGACAUUAAAACUACACCUUAAGUUGAUCUCUGUCUCUGUGUCUGCUUCUGGGUCCUCACUACGAACCUGCCUCACAACAGCAACACAGGCUGUAAGUGUAUAUUCGCUAUAUUAGCCUACUAUCAAAAUGACUAAAUAGACUACAAAUACAUAAUGAGCAUUCAGGAUUUAAUGUUUAUUUUCCCUGCAGCGCAUCCUGGAGAGAAUGACACACUAUGUGACUACUCUGCUGUGCGAUAUAUGGUGCUUUAAGUUUAACUUCCAUUACAAUAUUAAUAUAUUAAGUUUUGUUGCAUUAAUAAAAUUAUAGAAAUACAGUAAAGAAAUCAUUUUUUGUGUCAUUUUUAUUUUGAGGAUUCGAAAAAAACAAAAACAGAAUGGAAUGUGCAUAAUAGGCAUCAAUGCAGUCCUCUUCAAACCUCAAUAACAAUACAAUCUUCCUCGUUUUUUUCCCUUAUCUGAGCAACAGAGCGCUAUAAAACGCCUGCAGUUAAAACACAGCCUGCAAUUAUACAAAUAAAACGGCAGCCUUCUUGAAAAGGUAAGUUGGCUAUAUAAAACGAAAAAAAAAGCCAGUUUAAUUUCGAUUUCAGGGCAUUUCUGUGCAUUAUCCUCUUAGUUUUCUGCAAAUGCCAAGUUAAGUAGCCUAAGUUAGUGCAAAUGAAUAAAAUGCAGAACAAUCCUUUUCCCCCUUAUGGCAGCAAAAGACACAAAUGAAGCGGCUUGCAAACAAGUAAUAAAACGGCCUGCAAUUAAAAGGCAGCUUGCUUAAAAAAUACAACACAGCAGACGAACUUUUUGAAAAUGUAAAGCAAAAAUUUAAAUAAGACAAUUUAAGUUUGAUCUCUGUGUAUUAUCCUCAUCUCUUUAGUUUUCUGCAAAUAUCAAGUAAGUCAGUGCAAGGGUACAACGCAGCAGCAUCCUGUUCUCUUUCCCCCCUUAUCUCAGCAACAGAAACGGACAAUACAGGCGCAGCAAUCCUCUGAUCUGAGCAAUAAAACACAAUAAUAUCCCUAAAUGUCAUUCCAAA
rnacentral:lncRNA from 1 species